GCCGGUGUGAUGGAAUGGUAGACGUAGCGGAUUCAAAAUCCGCCGGGGGCGACUCCGUGUGGGUUCGAGUCCCACC
rnacentral:tRNA from 1 species